AACCGUGAAUGCUGCCUCGCCGUGCACGUACCACGCUUUCCCUGAUCCCGCCGAUGUUGCGCUGCUGCGCUCUCAGCUCCUGAACUGGUACGACGAGGAGAAGAGAGAGCUGCCAUGGAGGACUCUGGCUAUGACAGAACCAGACCUGAACAUCAGGACUUAUGCAGUGUGGGUUUCAGAAAUCAUGCUGCAACAGACUC